rnacentral:lncRNA from 1 species
GGAUUGCUCCAUGGUGGCAAAUUGGCAGUGGCAGGCGUCCAGACGAUAGGAGAGUAAUCAUUCGAUCAUGUUGGAAUUUGACACCGCGCGGGAAGCGUUGCAAGGCGCAAAUUUGCCAUUCGUGAUCCGAUACUUUUUUUAACAGACUGUGAUACCAGACGUUUUCCUGGGUUUGAGCAGAACUCAUAAACCAAUUAAAAGCUAUCUUACAACAUGUUGAAGGAUCCAUUAGCUCUAAAUGUUAGGUAGCUAAUACUCCCUCC